rnacentral:lncRNA from 1 species
UCCUUGUAGCUACUGAGGAAGCAAAAGACUCGGGCAUCACCACAAAGCCAAGACCAUUUGAAGAUACACAGAUUAAUAGAAAUGGGUUAAUAAUUAAGGGAGAGUUAACCAAUAAAAAGCCUGAGCCAUGCAUCAAACAGUUUAUAACUAAUAUAAGCUUCUGUAUGUUUAUUUGGGACUAAACAGCCGCAGGACCUGGUGAGGCAGAAACUUCCAAUAUAUUUUGUUCAAUAUUAUCCAGGUGAGAACUCAUGGUGUAAUAAAGUACUUUCAGAUUGUUUGAACUAAAAUUUCUCAGAAUGACACAGACCUGGAUGGCAUACAGCCUCUGUUCAUUGGGCCAAGGAUAAAUGAGAGUUUUAAGAAUGCAUAUGUGUGUGCAAUUCAACAGAUUGAUGCCUGAUGCAAGAACUCUAGAGAAUACACCACUAAGCUGCAGCAGUGAAUACAAGACAAAAGCACUUACAAGGUAAAACUGAAAGCUCUAUAAGGAACAGUACUUAAUAACUUCCUCUCUCUCUGUAGACCACAUAG